UACGUAGGGUCCGAGCGUUUGUCCGGAAUUACUGGGCGUAAAGAGCUCGUAGGUGGUUUGUCGCGUUGUUCGUGAAAACUCACAGCUCAACUGUGGGCGUGCGGGCGAUACGGGCAGACUGGAGUACUGCAGGGGAGACUGGAAUUCCUGGUGUAGCGGUGGAAUGCGCAGAUAUCAGGAGGAACACCGGUGGCGAAGGCGGGUCUCUGGGCAGUAACUGACGCUGAGGUGCGAAAGCGUGGGGAGCAAACAGG
rnacentral:rRNA from 1 species